AUUUGUUUUAAAUAUUUAUUUUUCAGUUGUUGUUGGACACAAUAUCUUUAUUUUAUUUAUUUAUUUUUAUGUGGUGCUGGAUCGAACCCAGGGCCUCUAAUGUCCUAGGUGAGCACUCUAUCAUUGAGCCACAAUCCCAGCCCUAUAAGUGGAUUUUUAAGAUUUAUAUAGAAGUUCAAAGGCCUAAAGUAAAUAAGACUUAUCAUGAAAUAGAAGAAUACUUUCAGAGGACUUUGUGCCACCCAGUUUGUAUACUCACAAUAAAACUUUAACAAUUAAGAUAGGGAAGUAUUGGCAUUGGGUUAGUUAAAAUGAUCAAUGAAACAGAAUAGAGCUAGUCUCAAACAGUCCCAUAAACAUGUGGCAACUUUUCAACAAAGGUGCCAUUAUAUUUCAUUGGGAAAGUAUUUGAAUUGUAAAGAAAAUUAAUCUUGACAUUUCCACUAUACUCUUGAAGUAGCCUUGUAGGAGCUGAGAAUUCACAGAGGCAUACUGAGAUCAUAAAUGCCUCAGUUCAAAAAUAAUACACUUUUUCUCACAAUGUACUCUACAGUAUAUGCUACAGGGUCCAACCUAAGUAUAAAAGGAAAAAAACACAGGUAAGAAUUUUGUGUCUUUGAUUCUGUUACUUUUUUCUAGGAGAGCUACAUAUGAACCACGUAAGAUAUAAUGUGUUUCUUUCUAUUACUUGCUUUUCUUCCCUUAACAAUAUAUCUUAGAGCUGUUUUCAGGUUAUAACCAUGUGUAACUGCAGGUACAUAUAUCCACAACUACUUUUAUCUAACUUCAGAGUACUCUAGAGUAUAAAACAUAUUUAGCCACUUCAAUAUUAAUGAACAUUUAGGUUCCUUUUUUCUCUAUUAUAAAAAUUGCCAUAAAGAAAUAAUACAGCUGUUUUUAUUAAAUACUCUUAAGGUAAUGCUUCUUUCAAUGUGUUUACUGGUGAUUGUUUUUCAUGUUUUAUUGAUGAACAAACA
rnacentral:lncRNA from 1 species